rnacentral:rRNA from 1 species
GAGUGAACGUUGGCGGUGUGCCUAAUACAUGCAAGUCGAACGAAGUUGAUAGCGAUAUUAGCUUAGUGGCGAACGGGUGAGUAACGCGUUGGUGAUCUGCCUUGAAGUGUGGAAUAACGUUUCGAAAGGAACGCUAAUACCGCAUGUGCUCUCGAUUUUCAGAAAGUUGAGAGUAAAGGAUUUAUUCGCUUCAAGAGGAGCCUGCGUCCCAUCAGCUGGUUGGUAGGGUAACGGCCUACCAAGGCUAUGACGGGUAGGGGACCUGAGAGGGUGGCCCCCCCACAAUGGAACUGAAACACGGUCCAUACACCUACGGGUGGCAGCAGUAGGGAAUAUUAGAAAUGGACGAAAGUCUGAUCUAGCAACACCGCGUGUGCGAAGAAGGCCUUCGGGUUGUAAAGCACUUUUUGGAAGGAUUAGGAAGGAAUGUACUUCCAGAAUAAGUCUCGGCUAACUACGUG